rnacentral:rRNA from 1 species
CCGGGCCAGACUCCCUACGGAGGCAGCAGUGGGGAUUUGACAUUGGGGCCAGCCUGAUCAGCAUGCGCGUGUGUGAAGAAGCUCCGGGUGUAAAGCACCUUUUGUCAGACGAAACGGUGGGGGCUAAUAUCCUCUGCUAAUGACGGUACCUGAAGAUAAGCACCCGGCUAACUACGGUGCCAGCAGCCGCGGUAAUACGUAGGGUGCAAGCGUUAAUCGGAAUUACUGGGCGUAAAGCGUGCGCAGGCGGUGUGCAAGACAGAUGUGAAAUCCCCGGGCUUAACCUGGGAAUUGCAUUUGUGACUGCACGGCUAGAGUGUGUCAGAGGGGGGUAGAAUUCCACGUGUAGCAGUGAAAUGCGUAGAUAUGUGGAGGAAUACCGAUGGCGAAGGCAGCCCCCUGGGAUAACACUGACGCUCAUGCACGAAAGCGUGGGGAGCAAACAGGAUUAGAUACCCUGGUAGUCCACGCCCUAAACGAUGUCUACUAGUUGUCGGGUCUUAAUUGACUUGGUAACGCAGCUAACGCGUGAAGUAGACCGCCUGGGGAGUACGGUCGCAAGAUUAAAACUCAAAGGAAUUGACGGGGACCCGCACAAGCGGUGGAUGAUGUGGAUUAAUUCGAUGCAACGCGAAAAACCUUACCUACCCUUGACAUGUACGGAACCCUGCUGAGAGGUGGGGGUGCUCGAAAGAGAGCCGUAACACAGGUGCUGCAUGGCUGUCGUCAGCUCGUGUCGUGAGAUGUUGGGUUAAGUCCCGCAACGAGCGCAACCCUUGUCAUUAGUUGCUACGAAAGGGCACUCUAAUGAGACUGCCGGUGACAAACCGGAGGAAGGUGGGGAUGACGUCAAGUCCUCAUGGCCCUUAUGGGUAGGGCUUCACACGUCAUACAAUGGUACAUACAGAGAGCCGCCAACCCGCGAGGGGGAGCUAAUCCCAGAAAGUGUAUCGUAGUCCGGAUUGUAGUCUGCAACUCGACUACAUGAAGUUGGAAUCGCUAGUAAUCGCGGAUCAGCAUGUCGCGGUGAAUACGUUCCCGGGUCUUGUACACACCGCCCGUCACACCAUGGGAGCGGGUUUCACCAGAAGUAGGUAGCUUAACCGCAAGGAGGGCGCUUACCACGGUAGGAUUCGUGACUGGGGUGAAGUCGUAACAAGGUAACCA